UGCAAGUCGAACGAUGAUGCCCAGCUUGCUGGGUGGAUUAGUGGCGAACGGGUGAGUAACACGUGAGUAACCUGCCCCUGACUCUGGGAUAAGCGUUGGAAACGACGUCUAAUACUGGAUAUGACUGCCGGCCGCAUGGUCUGGUGGUGGAAAGAUUUUUUGGUUGGGGAUGGACUCGCGGCCUAUCAGCUUGUUGGUGAGGUAAUGGCUCACCAAGGCGACGACGGGUAGCCGGCCUGAGAGGGUGACCGGCCACACUGGGACUGAGACACGGCCCAGACUCCUACGGGAGGCAGCAGUGGGGAAUAUUGCACAAUGGGCGAAAGCCUGAUGCAGCAACGCCGCGUGAGGGAUGACGGCCUUCGGGUUGUAAACCUCUUUUAGUAGGGAAGAAGCGAARKUGAYCGUACCUGCACAAAAAGCACCGGCUAACUACAUGCCMGCASCCGCGGUAAUACGUAUGGUGCAAGCGUUGUCCGGAAUUAUUGKKCKUAAAGAGCUCGUACGCGGWUUGUCGCGUCUGCUGYGAAAUCCCGAGGCUCAACCUCAGGCUUGCAGUGGGUACGGGCAGACUAGAGUGCGGUAGGGGAGAUUGGAAUUCCUGGUGUAGCGGUGGAAUGCGCAGAUAUCAGGAGGAACACCGAUGGCGAAGGCAGAUCUCUGGGCCGUAACUGACGCUGAGGAGCGAAAGCAUGGGGAGCGAACAGGAUUAGAUACCCUGGUAGUCCAUGCCGUAAACGUUGGGCGCUAGAUGUAGGGACCUUUCCACGGUUUCUGUGUCGUAGCUAACGCAUUAAGCGCCCCGCCUGGGGAGUACGGCCGCAAGGCUAAAACUCAAAGGAAUUGACGGGGGCCCGCACAAGCGGCGGAGCAUGCGGAUUAAUUCGAUGCAACGCGAAGAACCUUACCAAGGCUUGACAUACACCGGAAACGGCCAGAGAUGGUCGCCCCCUUGUGGUCGGUGUACAGGUGGUGCAUGGUUGUCGUCAGCUCGUGUCGUGAGAUGUUGGGUUAAGUCCCGCAACGAGCGCAACCCUCGUUCUAUGUUGCCAGCGCGUUAUGGCGGGGACUCAUAGGAGACUGCCGGGGUCAACUCGGAGGAAGGUGGGGAUGACGUCAAAUCAUCAUGCCCCUUAUGUCUUGGGCUUCACGCAUGCUACAAUGGCCGGUACAAAGGGCUGCGAUACCGUAAGGUGGAGCGAAUCCCAAAAAGCCGGUCUCAGUUCGGAUUGAGGUCUGCAACUCGACCUCAUGAAGUCGGAGUCGCUAGUAAUCGCAGAUCAGCAACGCUGCGGUGAAUACGUUCCCGGGCCUUGUACACACCGCCCGUCAAGUCAUGAAAGUCGGUAACACCCGAAGCCGGUGGCCUAACCCUUGUGGA
rnacentral:rRNA from 1 species